UGUCCCAGGACUUGGGAGCUUUGUGAAAACUUCCUGUGGCUUCCCUGAAGCACUCCUGUACUAGCAGCAGUGUUGCACAGACAGCGUGAGCCAAGCCCAGCUCUCACUUCAGACUCCUGCUUGUUUUGCAGUGACUGUUUCCCACUAGCAGCUGAGAGCGCCAGGCACAUCUGGAAGAUCUCUGGGAUGGCUCCAGCCAGCUUCCCCAUCCAUCUGCUGUGGCAAAGGGAACAGGGAGGAAGCAAGAGCUCUCCUUUGGCUCGGCACUCAGGCAACACCUUGUGGCUGUUCCAGGCUGCUGGAGUGAGCCAGGGUCACAGCUUUCACUUCUAGCCCUGCCAGCCCCUGCCAGCUCCAGGGCUGAGCACAUCCCUCCCUUCUGCAGGGAAUCCACUGGUGUCCCCCUGGAGCACAGCUCUCAUCCCCCAACAGCAUUUUCACGUGUUCUGCAAUGGCCACAGCAACAGCUUGUGGGUGAGACUCAGCAAAGCAAUCCUGCUGCAAGCUUUCCAAACUGUGGCAGUCGGGGCAAGAUGGAUACCAAGCAUGGAAAAAUUCAACUCGGUAAGGUAGCAGCAGCAAAGAGUCACCUGGGAACAAAGAGUGAUUCCUGUGCACAAGCAGUGCUGCUCACCACUUCAGCAUUUGAAAGGGGACAACUCCACCACCAAUCCAGAAUGAUUCUGGGGAAAAAAUGGACCUGUUGGUCAUUCCCCUGCAGCUGUGCACACAAGGAUGCAGCCAUCUGCUGAAAAACCUGUGGUGAGCCAGGGAAGAGCUGAAAGAAGAAAGGAUGGUUGUGCCAGCCUGCACUGCUCCCUGGCAUAGGGCUGCAGCAGUUUUGUCCAAGCUUUCCAAAAGCAGCAAAAGGAAGUAACAGCCAUCUGAUGUAUUGGGGAAUUUUUCCUUGGUGCAAAACUCUUCCUGUCAUCAGUGGAGGAAUGCUUUCACUUUGGACUUAACACACAGAUCCAAACUGCAGCUGCACUCUGUUCCUGGCUAUCCCCAGCUCCUUCAGAAAGGGGAAAAAAUCUUCCCAGCACUGGUGGGGUGAAUGCUGUUCCUGAGGAACUUCCUGAAAUCAGUACUGGAUGCUGGUGCUUUAUACCAAAGAUGAGGGUCAAAUUAGACUUGCUGGCAAAUACAGUAGGCAAAAUUAAUAAAAGGUUUCAUUUUAUGAAUCAAAAUUUCACUGAACCAGAGCUCACACAAUGUUCAGUGCCCAGACAUUCUGAAAGUUCAAUUUUGUGCACUUGUAGCUAAGAGGGAGCUACAUACAUUUAUGGUUGAUCUUUAAUAUCUCAGACUGAACAAAUAAGAUGUGGAGGAUGAUUAGAAUCAGUUUCCUCUGGGCAACUGCAACAGAAGGGUAGAAGUGUUGUGAAGCUGGCAGCCUGUAUGAAAGGCAGCAUUUAUCCCUCAGGCUGAGAACACGGCUGUGUGUUAAUUGAAUAAUGCUGUGUUCUGUUUAAAUAGCUCUCUGUAAAUUUUAUGCCAAGCACCUUAAGAGGUUCCUAUCACUUAAUUUUUCUUGCAGUUUGUACAGAAAAUUUCUGUCCUUGGUUCUAAUUGAAUUGUGUAAAAGAUGCUUUUUCCAUGUUAGUCAUCUAAUUUCCUCUAUUAAACAGCUACAUGGAAGACAGUCCUGAACCAUGUUAGCUUCUAUAUGAAAUUAAGGCUUGCUGUUUAUUUUCAAACCAGUUAAUAAGGAGCAUCUGGGACUGACUGAAUCUUACCACCUCCACUCAGGCUGGUUCCCAAUGCUUCAGAUAUUUUUCAAGGUUCACUGUUCAUGUUCUUGGAUGGCUCAAUUUCCAACACCACUGCUCUUAUCACCUACAGGAACACCUCAAAAUACACAGGACAAUAGGAAAAGGAUAUCUUAUCCACACACAAGCACACAUGUACCAAGGACUUGAGAACAUCUGGAUCAGCUACAGCCAGAAUUACUUGAAAUAAAAUCCUAACAGAAGUCUUAAUGGAACACUCAAACCUGGUUAAUCCAAAACACUUUGCAAACUAUUUUUAUUCAAAUUAAAAAGACUCAGGUAAACAAAGUGAUGGUACAUACAUGUUAUAAACCUGGUUAGCAGCUCAGCCUUCAGCAGUACAAGAUCUAAUGAAAAGCCAAGCAUGGAUAAACCAGGUACAAAAACAUAUGCUGAAAAAAAGUCACCAACAUCAACGUUUUGAAUUUUUACACAAACAGUAAAUUUUCUCAUGGAAGGGAAGGACUGAGGAAGAGAACAAAUAAUUAUUAGUUGUCUCCAACUGGUUUAUGAAAAUACCUGUCCUGGUUUUAUCUAUUUUCCACUCUCACAGAAGCCAACCAUUGCCCACACAUCCUUUUAUUUUAAUAUGAAAGUUUUGUUUACACCAGUACAAUGAACGGCAGUGAAAAACAGAUGAGGGGCUCAAACACCCACAAAGAGAGAAAAAGAGACAGACAGACAUGUCUUUUUUUUUUUUUUAAACCAGAGUGAGAAGUUUCUUUUGCUGGUUUUGAAUUCUAGACUGUAGCCAUUAUAUCCUAAAUUUCACUGCAAUCGACUGAAAUGCCUCCAGUAUAGAGAAAAACGAUUUUGAAAUAAAUAAGGCUUAAAAUAAUUGAUCAGGGCCAGCCCAGUGGCUUAGUGGUAGUGCUCUGCACUGCCUUGAGGGAGGAGCCAGGUUUUGUUUGCACUUCCAAUCUCUUGCUCCUGGGCCAGAAAGAGCAGUGAAAGGAGGGAUUCAGCUGCUCGGCAGGAGAGAGCCAGUGCUGCACAUCUGCUCAUCACUGACCUUCAGAUAAAUUAAACAUCUGAGUUAUACAGGCUCCAAAGGGAGUCCCAUCCAGUCCUCAAAAGAAAAUAAAUAAAACAAUAAUUUAAUUAAAAUUCAUCCCGGGUUCUUUGGUGUAAUUUUUGUUAAUGCUGAGAAGUAGGAGAAUCUGGUGGUGUAUUAGUACAAUCCAUGAUAGUUCCAAAUGCUCAAAAACUAGGAUUUUGCUGCCUGAUUCACUUCAACAUCCCAUCUUUGUGGCUAAAACCUGCAAAACCUAUGGUAACUUAAACACAUUUUACAGGGGUGGUCUAAGACUAUUCAAUUUCUACUUUAUUAAAUAAAAUUGGAAAUAUACAAAGGCCAGUAAAGAACUUCUGUACCAUGGGUGUGCUACUUGUAGAGUUCAAAACUGUCACUUCCCUCUAUGUUGUUUUGCUCCAUUUCCUUCACAUCCAUUGCACAUGUGACCUAAACUAACUGUAAGUGCCUAUUUGUAAUUACCUGGGGUAUUUUGUGCAAUGACUGGAAGAUUGCAAUAGGAGAGGGAGAAGAAUUGGCCACUAAAAUUAAAUCACAGUUUAUACUUGCAAGUGUCACUUCCCUCAUGAGUAUUAAUUACAUCAGCAAAACAAACCCCAAGAUAGCCAGUAUUUGAAGGAAAACAUUUAAUUUAACCUUCUGCCACAUAUACUUAAAUGAAAAUGUUCUGUACCAACAGACUUUAGAACUCAUUUCCACAUGAUGAACACCUCUACCAUAAAUGAAGUGUAUCAGUAAAUCA